rnacentral:pre_miRNA from 1 species
CGGGAGAGGCCGGAUCCUGGGCUGUGUCCCGGCGCCCUGUGCUCCGGAGCCUGCGCUGUUGGAUUCGCGCUCCCGCCCCACAGCCCCCU